rnacentral:rRNA from 1 species
UUCUCCUCGCCUUCAUAUAUAUAGAAAACUGUAGAGAUAGGGGGGGUGGCGGGCUUGCGGGAUCUUGAACACAGGUGCUGCACGGCUGUCGUCAGCUCGUGUCGUGAGAUGUUGGGUAAAGUCCCGCAACGAGCGCACCCCUCGUCUUUAGUUGCCAUCAUUUAGGAGGGGACUCCAAAGAAGCCGCCGGUGGUAAGGAGGAGGAAGGUGGGGAUGACGUCAAGUCAUCAUGGCCCUUACGGCCAGGGCUACACACGUGCUACAAUGGGGGGUACAAAGGGCAGCAAUACCGCGAGGUGGAGCAAAUCUCAAAAACCCCUUCCUAGUCCAGGAUGCAUUCUGAACUCGAGUGCAUGAAGUCGGGAACGCCUUGGAAUCGUA